AAAGGGACGUUUAAAGAUACCGCAAAUGAAAAAGAGUAUUACAAUGAUUUCCCAGCUGUUGAUAUAGGAGAAAAACAAAGUGGACGAGAUGUGGAUAUUUCCCCUUAUGCAGAACUAAGAGAACUCGACCACCAAAACACUUAUGAUGAACUUUAGUAAUAUGCAAAAGAAGACGACAAAAUUUAGUUGGAAGCAUUGCUAUUGUUUACAUUUUAAUGUAGAACUCACUUUC